AGAAGGAAAAAGAGCACAAAAUAGAAAAGGGGCAUUUUGAGUUGAAACCAUUUUAAUGGUUGGAGUUCCAGGAAUCUUUCAAAUUCCCUCUGUAGACACCUUUUUCUCACAGUCAGAUUAAGAUAUUGUCCUCCCAUCCUCAUAGUUCUAAAACCAAUGCAGUUCUACUAUAACACAUCUCUCUUGCCCUUUCAAAGCGUCUAUAACUCUUCUCUUGCUCAGAGCUAAGGAAUAAUCACUGUUUUAUAUAUAAAAAUGUAUCUGAAGCCAUUGCCAUCUGAGGCCUUCUACAAUUUAAAUGGUUGUCAUAUGAGUUUCUCUGUUGGCAUGGCUGACUGCCAAUAGACGUGUCUCGCACUAUGUUCAUGCAGAUGCCAGGAAUCAGACAGGGCCUCCCUUAGAAGCGCACCGAAGAUACCUUCUCUGAAAUACUUGGAUAGUUCAUUACUGAUCCUAAUCUUGGACACUGAGACUCUGUGCUCACCAGUAGAAACACGUUCCCAGAGUGUGUAACAAUAGAAAACUGAAAGGCAAGAUCCUUCCUCUUAAAUCUUUCACAAGGAGACCUCUUUUUCCCAAGGCUGUAUUAGGAGUUGGAAUUAGGAUGGAGAGGAAGCGCAUUAAUUUUCAACUUCACACGAAGGCAAGUUGUACAAACACAGCUGAAAACAUCAGGAAACCCAGGCAUUUUCCUUAGAGAAAUGGAGUGAGCUAAUGUUCUGCUGGCAGGAGACUGCUAAAUAAUUGGGAAGACGUUGUUGGGCACAGUGGUUCAGGCACAGUGGUUCGGGCAGCAGGGUGUUCGUGCUCUGAUAGAGCUGCUCAAUUCGGCUCGCUUGGAUGAAUGAUUCCACUAAUGUAGAAAACAGAGAUUAUUAGCCACAUAACAGGAAGCAAUUUAAAGAGCACAAGCUGCUUUGGAAACAUAAGAAACAUCUCUCAGAUUGUCAAAAGAUUUUUUUUUUUUUAACUAUUUAAUUUACGCUGGACUUGGAUCCAAUUAAAUCAUGAAAGACCUUUUGAUUUUUGCCUCUUUGUGUUCUCAUUGAGUUUAUUUCAUAGACAUAUUUCAAACACAGGAAAAAUAAGGAGAAUUCUCUUGACACUUUGGACUUUGUUUACAUUGAUUCCUG
rnacentral:lncRNA from 1 species